rnacentral:rRNA from 1 species
GACGUAGGGCGCGAGCGUUUGUCCGGAUUUAUUGGGCGUAAAGAGCUCGUAGGCGGCUUGUCGCGUCGUCUGUGAAAUCCCGCGGCUCAACCGCGGGUCUGCAGUCGAUACGGGCAGGCUAGAGUUCGGUAGGGGAGGCUGGAAUUCCUGGUGUAGCGGUGAAAUGCGCAGAUAUCAGGAGGAACACCGAUGGCGAAGGCAGGUCUCUGGGCCACUACUGACGCUGAGACGCGAAAAGCGUGGGGGAGCGAACAGG